UACGUAGGGUGCAAGCGUUAAUCGGAAUUACUGGGCGUAAAGCGUGCGCAGGCGGUUAUGUAAGACAGAUGUGAAAUCCCCGGGCUCAACCUGGGAAUGGCAUUUGGGACUGCAAGGCUGGAGUUUGGCAGAGGAGACUGGAAUUCCCGGUGUAGCAGUGAAAUGCGUAGAUAUCGGGAGGAAUACCUGCGGCGAAGGCGGGUUGCUGGGCUGACACUGACGCUGAAGCGCGAAAGCUAGGGGAGCGAACGGG
rnacentral:rRNA from 1 species